GACAGAGGCCUCAAGCGUUAGGCGGAAUCACUGGGCUUAAAGCGUGUGUAGGCGGAUCGUUAAGUACCUUGUGAAAUCCCACGGCUCACCCGUGGAACUGCUGGGUAUACUGGCGAUCUUGGGCCAACUAGGGGCAGCUGGAACAAGCGGUGGAGCGGUGAAAUGCGUAGAUAUCGCUUGGAACGCCGAAGGUGAAAACAGGCUGCUGGGGUUGUGCCGACGCUGAGACACGAAAGCCAGGGGGAGCAAACGGGG
rnacentral:rRNA from 1 species